UUUUCACCCUGUGAUGCAGGAGAUGGAACUCAAGGCCUCCAGCAUUCCGGGCAAGUUCUCUACUACUGAGUCAAGCCCCCUUCACCCUCUACCUCCCACCCCAACCUGUAGUCGAUGCCAACCAAUCAAUGCAUAGCUGAGAGAGUGGGAACCCAGGAGAGACCUGGACCUGAGACUGUGGUGGCUGGGGGACCACACCUUGGCCAGACUACAUGACGGUGAAUGGCCGAACCUGGCCUGUUGUGGCACCGGCUGUGAUUAUAAGCGAGAUGCAAGAGAAAGAGCCGUGUGGUGAGGCUGGUAUGUGCACACACACAAAAUGCACGAAGGAAAACCUGCUUCCUCCUGCCAAAGGGCAAACAAAGGAGUGGCCUAGGAAGAGAGAAGACUUC
rnacentral:lncRNA from 1 species